CUUCCUAUUAAUGCAUAAUAUUUUAUAUAUUAUGAUUGACAGAUACUUAGGGAAUAUGUGGAAAGAUUCUCGAACACUAGGUCACAAUGAUGAAGAAUCUUCAAACUUCUUCAGGAAGACUUUUAACUAAAAACGUUCUGGUCUAUGUGUGAUAUCCUUAACCGAGGAAACUGAAGGUUACUCCUCGGAUGAAAAUAGAUUGUUCAUCAUUGCAGAUCUUCUCUCCACAACUAGGUGAUGCCUACUCUGUCUUUCCUCGAGUUUGUCAUGUUCGCAAGGAUGUUCUAUGGGUCUCUAAAUGGCACUGCAUAACAAUCCUAAUGACUCUAAAGGUUGCUCACUGGCUUCAUCACAACUCGAGGGGGCAAAACCCAGUGGGAGAAAGAUGGUUUACAUAAACCCGAGAGGCGGUUCACUGGAGGAACAACAUCCGUUACCGCAACGAAAAGGGUUAAUAUGGGCUGUGUUUUAACAUCACUUUAGGAAAGAGCAUAUCUUAUUUCUUAUUAUCAUUACAAUAUGGCCAGCCUUGGACACACCGUCGGUCUGACAUUUAUUUUUAACAAAAUUCAUAAUAUAGCAAGCUCAAAUAAAAGUUUGAGCUUUUUGUUUCAGAAAAAAAGUUUUAUAAUGUUUUCAUUUAGUUUU